rnacentral:rRNA from 1 species
GAUGAACGCUGGCGGCGUGCCUAAUACAUGCAAGUCGAGCGAACAGACGAGAGGUUGGCUCCUCUGACGUGAUGGGCGGACGUGUGUGUAACAUGUGUAUAAUCUAUCUAUAAGACUGGGAUAACUUCGAGACGCUGGAUCUAAUACCGUAACAUAUAUUGAACCGUGUUGAUCAAUAGAAAAAGACGGUUGUUCUGUCACUUAUUGGUGGAGCGGCGUGGCAUUAGCUAGUUGGUAGGGUAACGGCUUACGAAGGCAACGAUUCGUAGCCGACCUGAGAGGGUGAUCGGCCACCCUGGAACUGGGCCACGGUCCAGACUCCUACGGGAGGCGCCGGUAGGGAAUCUUCCGCAAUGGCCGAAAGCCUGACGGAGCACCGCCGCGUGAGUGAUGAAGGUCUUCGGAUCGUAAAACUCGGUUAUUAGGGAAGAACAAAUGUGUAAGUAACUGUGCACGUCUUGACGGUACCUAGUCAGAAAGCCACGGCUAACUACGUG